AAGGAACUGAAACAAGUUCAGAGCAACAGAGAAGAGGGUGUCUGCUAUGGCAACAGAAGGCAAACAAGGCUACAAAUGAAUGAAAAGGGUUUGCUGGCUUUGGUGGGAAAGUGCAUGGAACUCGCCCUUGAGCAAAAUGAUAGGGCAGAGGGAUGUUGGGAUCUAGUGGCACCCACGGAACUGAGAGGCCAGAAGGCAUGCUGGGCAGGGCAGAGUGAGCUGAAUGCAAGUUGUACAUUGCUCUGGUGGCUUUUCCGUCGCAGCUCUUAUAGAUGGUAACGGAAGAGUCUCCUGCUGCGUGAGCCAAUAGGCAGUUGCUCAAGCAGAAACAACUUUGAAGUCAAGGCAUCAACAUGACCUGAAGAAAAGAAAAAACACCAAACAGUUUUGCAAUGAAAAAUGAGGAACUGCACAACAAAGGAAAUUCUCAAGUAGUGGAGGAGAGACCAGCAUUUAGAUUAAAAUAUCAUGACACAAUCACAACGUCAAUAAAACAAAACUAAGAACUAUAAACGGAGACCAGGUAAAACAAACCCCAAAAUCCUGAUGGUUACCAUACUAUUGUACUUACCCAGGAGUGAGUUCUACUGAACCCCCUAAAACUGCCAUCUGUCUAGUCUCAGGCUACUCCAAACAGCAGCCAGCGAAACACCAUUGGUCACCACUGGGCCACAUAUAGGCAGGGGCGUAGAGAGGUGC